rnacentral:tRNA from 1 species
UCCGAUAUAGUAUAAAGGCUAGUAUACCCCGCUCUCAAACGCAUCGUUGACAGUGCCGGGGAGAUCGGGGUUCAAUUCCCCGUGUCGGAA